UAGAGUUUGAUCCUGGCUCAGAUUGAACGCUGGCGGCAUGCCUUACACAUGCAAGUCGAACGGUAACAGGUUAAGCUGACGAGUGGCGAACGGGUGAGUAAUAUAUCGGAACGUGCCCAGUCGUGGGGGAUAACUGCUCGAAAGAGCAGCUAAUACCGCAUACGACCUGAGGGUGAAAGCGGGGGAUCGCAAGACCUCGCGCGAUUGGAGCGGCCGAUAUCAGAUUAGGUAGUUGGUGGGGUAAAGGCCCACCAAGCCAACGAUCUGUAGCUGGUCUGAGAGGACGACCAGCCACACUGGGACUGAGACACGGCCCAGACUCCUACGGGAGGCAGCAGUGGGGAAUUUUGGACAAUGGGCGCAAGCCUGAUCCAGCCAUGCCGCGUGCGGGAAGAAGGCCUUCGGGUUGUAAACCGCUUUUGUCAGGGAAGAAAAGGUUCUGGUUAAUACCUGGGACUCAUGACGGUACCUGAAGAAUAAGCACCGGCUAACUACGUGCCAGCAGCCCCGGUCAA
rnacentral:rRNA from 1 species